UGGGGGAAUAUUGCACAAUGGGGGAAACCCUGAUGCAGCGACGCCGCGUGAAGGAAGAAGUAUCUCGGUAUGUAAACUUCUAUCAGCAGGGAAGAUAGUGACGGUACCUGACUAAGAAGCCCCGGCUAACUACGUGCC
rnacentral:rRNA from 1 species